rnacentral:lncRNA from 1 species
UAAAACAUGAGAGAUCACGCCACAUAAAACGACCCAACCUGAUAUACUGACGUACAGGCCUAUAAGGCCAAAAUAAUCACUCAUACACUAAACAUAGGCCGACAAGGCCAUACAAUCUUUCAUAUAUAAGACAUAUGUCUUAAAACCUCUAAGAGUACAUAAACGUCAUAAGGACAGGACAGGGCCCCGACAUACCAAUCAAUAUAUGUCUAAAUCAUACUAAUCAAAUAAGUAACUCUGGAGCAAAUGGAGCGCACCAACAUCUUCCGCUGAGUUGAUAGACUACUGCAGGACUCUCAACCUAUCUAUCGGGACCUGCGGGCAUGACACACAGCAUUCCCAAGCAAAAGGGACGUCAGUACAAAUAAUGUGCCGAGUAUGUAAGGAAUGAAAAUCACUAAACAAUAGACCCGAGAGAAACAUGGAGUAAAAGACUCAACAUGUAUAUCUGAAUAGCUAUGUGAAUCAUUUAAUAUUAUAAUAUUAUGAACAUGCGUAUAAAUGUCAUACCAUGCAUGGGUAUAUGCGUUCAUAACAUCAUCAAACCUCUGAGGGCAUCCCAUCAUAUCAUCUCGACCACUAUGGGAAAAUGAUCAACGUAUACCAGCUAAUCAGUUGGUGGUGCGUAUAUAACACCGUAACCUUGUCCUAUAUAUAUACGUCAAUAAAUGAAUGCAAUGCAUUUAUUUAUUGGUCAUGGAUCAAUAAAUAUAUAUAUAACGUCAUCUGGUCAUGGGUCAAUGUAAAUGAAUGUAAUGCAUGAGAAGUAUGUCAAUAAAAUCUCCCGGAAUGUCAUAGGACCAUUAUGCCUAAACUUUAUCAACUUACGUAUUUUCUGAGACCCAUGAACAGAUGAUAGAAUAAUAUGAUACAUGGCGAAUCAGGAACAUAAACAUCUCUAUUAUUUCUAUGAAUAGAGUCAUUUAUGGAAAUUGUGCAUUUGCUUAUUUAAUUUGUGACGUAUAGAUCAUGCCAAAAGAAAGAAGGAAUAGCCUUAACAUACCUGCCGAUUCUAUUGAUAAUCCCUCUAAUU